rnacentral:tRNA from 1 species
GCAUCGGUGGUUUAGUGGUAAAAUUAGCCGUUGCCAUAAGAAGAAUCGGGCCAACACCUGAAUCUUCCAAGCUCGGCUAGCCCCGGGUUCGAUUCCCGGCCGAUGCA